GAUGAACGCUGGCGGCGUGCCUAAUACAUGCAAGUCGUACGGAAAGGCCCUUCGGGGUACUCGAGUGGCGGACGGCUGAGUAACGCGUGGGAACGUGCCCCAAAGUGAGGGAUAACGCACCGAAAGGUGUGCUAAUACCGCAUAUGGUCUUCGGAUUAAAGCUUCGGCGCUUUGGGAGCGGCCCGCGUACGAUUAGAUAGUUGGUGGGGUAAUGGCUCACCAAGUCGACGAUCGUUAGCUGGUCUGAGAGGAUGAUCAGCCAGACUGGGACUGAGACACGGACCAGACUCCUACGGGAGGCAGCAGUAAGGAAUCUUCCACAAUGGGGGCAACCCUGAUGGAGCAACGCCGCGUGCAGGAUGAAGGUUUUCGGAUCGUAAACUGCUUUUAUAAGUGAAGAAUAUGACGGUAACUUAUGAAUAAGGAUCGGCUAACUACGUGCCAGCAGCCGCGGUAA
rnacentral:rRNA from 1 species